CUAUUUAUCAAGCGUCCCCUGAUAGGCGGAGGCAGAUGUUUCAGCCGCAUUUAAGAGGUCCAAGCGGUGCUUCGUUUACUCAGGAUCAAGUCCGCUCUGUAUUUUUGGCUAUCGCAUUGACAGAUAGUAGGCAUGGCGCGAGCUCAAAUCAUGAAGCAUUAGAACCUGUCAGCAAUAACGACACAAAAAAAAUUCGAAUCCCCCAAACUGAUGGCAACUCUUCUAGGAGGCACCUAAUGAAGCAUACCUGGAGCGAUUUAACUGCUUUAUCGAUCGCCCUUGCUAAAUCCAUCGUUGAGACAGAAAAUGUGGACGUAAAAGUCAUCGCUUCAGAACACAUUGCGACCUAUUUAAAAUCUGUCAAAAAUAAAACUAUUUUUAAUUGGUCAAGCACGCCCAAAUCUGUACUGGAAAAUUUGGCAUUUUACUAUGAGCCCGUUUCUGUAUCAACCACUGCGGAUUCUCCACAGUAUAAAGAGCGCUUCUUCAAAACCUAUUAUACUAGUGGAGAUUUCGCAUCUAUGUGCGAUUCGUUUUUACCAAAACUUGUACUACUGGCACUUUAUUAUGCUUCGAAACCAUCAGAAGAAUACAAAAAUGCUCGAAAGAUUUGGGAAAUAGAAAGAAUUGUUCGAAUGAUCAACAACAACAACACAUCCGUAGUCGUAGGAGCCGCAUUGGUCAUGUUCUUUGAAUGCUUCUUUCGUUCAAUACAUACCAGUUUUUUAGACCCCAAAGCACGGACUGUCUUUGUCGCACAAAUGUACUCAUACACCCUACGCUUAGAAACGGACAUGAAAAACAAAGUAUUACCAUCUGUCAGCUGUAGAAUUGCCGAACUCAUCGAUUUGUUCUUAGCCAAUCCAAGCCCUGUCCUGUUAUUUGAAAAUUUGUCUCAGUCUUCUUCAGAAAAAAAUUGUAUCGAGUCACUCGUUAUGCUCUUCGCGGGCUUUCUGUGCACUUAUUCGAAUCCUUCGUCUCAAUUCAGACACCUGCUUCAAGAGUCAUCCUACAUAGUCUCAAAUACUCUCCUAAAUAUCAUAGACUUUUUCUUUAAGGCCACUUACCCAUACUUCGACCCAGGUUCGAUUUACUUGGAAUCAAAAUAUGCCAACUUAAACCAACUACAUAACUCACGCUAUUUGAUCGAUCUGUCGUCCAAGUUUUAUGUAACUAUUUCUAACAACUCCGUCCCACCUCCUUACCAAGACAUCAUUCCAGGCACCGCGCUCAAAGUCAGCUUGGAAAACGACAAUCAAGCUAUUUCUUAUCUCCAAGACUCUACACAAGAAAAAGCCAUACGCCCAUGGUAUCUGCAGCUUAGCUUUCCCAUAUCCACACUUAAAAGCUGGUGGUGGACCUUUGGCACGCCCAAACUAACGUAUCUCGCACAACAUCCUAUUUCCUCAUUCAAGAUCGCCUUUCUUACUUCAACUAAAUGGAUCGCCUGCCUGCCAUCGACCCUGCUAAAACCCACCCCACUCAAAGUAGGACUUGCUCUCACUCUCUUCAAUAAAUGGAUGCUUAUUCAUCUAAUCAGACUCGCAUAUGUGGGUAGACUCCUCAGCACCCCAUCUCCAAAAGAUCGUGCAGAAAUCGCCUUGUAUACGCAACUGUUUCCCACGUUCACACAGGACACCCUUCAAACCCAGUACCCUCCAAAAAAAUCAAUAGAGCCGUCUUGAAAAAAACUACAUACACAAAGCCAUAGCCGUUUAUUCGAGAAAACGCCUCUCUAAGAAGUAUACAUCACUCGCACUAGAAAAUACCCUUCGAAUCACCAGAACCCAUGUAGGCAUUCUCAUUAAUCGCCCAUCGGAUCUCGCCCUCCCUGGUCAAGACAAACCAUACCCGCUCCUUGUUUUUCAGUCUCUUCACGUCGUCGUGCUCCUCCACAAUGCAUUUUGCAUUCGCCCCACUCCUCAACUGGCUAAUGUCUUCCGCGUUGAAUCCAAAUGUCGCUGCAAUCGUCAACUUCAGUUCCUCGUACAAGUCCACACUCGUCCUAGAUAAACAAACAUUACAGUCUGUCGCCAUUUGACCCUUCCUGGCUACAUAAAGCAUUGUAUGUUCCUUGCCCUGCACUUGAAAUGGAAACGCUAAUUCGGAACGCGAAAACGCCAUAUCUGGUCUAUAAUUACUAAACGCCUUGGGCUGCAUAACCACUCGAUAUCUCGCGCUCUUCAUCCGUUCACUAGGAUGAAAUGUAACCACCAUGUUGUUUGAUAACUCUAAACUCCCCUGUACAACUUCUCCUGUCGCAGAAUUCACCACCUUGAAAACGUUGUUCACAUCGACGCAUGAUCCAUUCACCAACUCAUGCAACUUGUCCAACUCCACGCGAAGUAUCUGACUCUGCGCGUUCGUUGAUCUCUUGAUGGAUUUGACAUAGGCGCCCAUUGUCCUUACCGGUUCAUCCUUUAUCAACCCCUCUAACACGUCUCCACUCGUAAGGUUGCAGGAAUCUAUCAGCGCAGUGUCGUCCAAAAUCAAACAUUUGUGUCUUAGUUCCAAAUCUCUCUCGGAAAUUUCCAAAUGCUGCGAGCAAACCAACACCUUGAUGUGCCCUACUCUCUGGUCGCUCGAUAUCGACACGCCUAUACUACCCAUAUUCGGUAUACUCACAAUCAGGUCCAUUGACUCUGCAUAGGACUUGGGCCACGGCUUGCAAACAAUCGACGCAUACGACCGCAAAUUCAAGUUCCGUAACAUCGUUCCGUCGGCCAGCGGUACGUUCCCCAACCACCACUCUGACGCAAAAAUGUUCAAGAGAUUUGCAUAUUCAUAGUCCUCCACCUGGGCCAGCAUUCUUCUCUUGACAUCGCCUACCGUCUCGUUGUAGUAUUCAGGUGAUUGAAAUAGCAACACUUCUAUGGCGCAAUCGUAGCUGCUGUCGUCUUCAUGCGCUACGCUAAUAAAAAUUUUAGGUAACUGCAAGUGGCUUUCAUCGGUCAGCGACGAACCCAACACGGUUCUGAAGCCAUCCCUUAACGCAUUAUCCCCCUUUGAGUAGGCAGUGUCUUCACAGUUUUCGAUUCUCUUCUUAGCCGAUUUUUUGCUCUCCCAGUCGCCCUCAGCAUAUAUGUUUCCCAUCGAAGAGAACGAGUCUUGGUCGAGGAAGGAAUAGCUAAAAUUAUUUAUAUGGUCUUGUUCAAUUUCAGACAACAUUAAAAAAUCUUGCUGUUGCGGAGGCAAAUAAAUUGUGUAUUUGUCGCUGAGCUGAUUAUCCAACCGUGAUGCUAGCAACAUUUGCCCCCCAUUCUCCUCGCGUCUACGCUUGGCUCUUGAGAAAAAGUUAAAGAGCCGCUUACAGCAUUCGUGUCCGCAUAUGGCCUUGUCUUUGCAUUUGUGCUUGCAAUCCAGCUUCUCGCCGAACUCUUUUUUAACUGUCGAUACGUUCUCUGCAGAAUCUUGGAUUCCUUUUUUUUUAAUGCCUACGACUUGAGAUGGGUCUAUCAACAUAGGCGGUACCUGGGUUAUAGUAGCGGGCAACAUAUUCAUCAUAGUGAUGGGCGUAAAACAGCCUUCGAAGACACGCGCAACCACUCUUUUAACAGAAGAAGAAACCAACGACGCCUCGUGCCCUAAAUGGGUUGAUAUACUUCUAAAUGCGUCUUCUAUAUAGCCAGGGCGCACCACCGUUUCGACCAAUCUAACGAAACAGAAGCUCACUUGAGGUGCUUUUCCGAAGACUAUUUCAAAAUGGAGUAAGUCUAAAUUGUGUAGACUGGCACUGUUAAACAAAGCUUCAGUCAGUUAAACGAAAAUUCACAUACAAAAGCCUAUACAAGCCGCCUAGGUUAUUUCAAGCCGUAACGGUUAUUGUUCAGCAAUUCGAGAAAAACCGCUAUCAGCAUAAAAUGUUUUCGAGUGGGCACCGCCUUCGCUGCUUCAUCCUUUGGCGACCACUAAGCGACUAUGACAACGAGAGUGCGCCAGAGCAGCCUGGCUAGGACAGUCUGGAUGCAUAGGGCGCCCCGUAUGCAACCCUUUUCUUAAAGAAUGCGCGCAAGAAACCACGCAUCAAUAUCGAGGAGACACAGAAUGAUGAUCCAGAUGCCUUCGUCUGGAAAUUUGAAGUAUUGGUCCCAAUCGGUCUCGAAAGAACCCCUAUAGGCCUUCAUAGGCCUUUAUUUCGCCGUCUUGUUUUUCGAGGGCCUCUCGGCAACUCAGCGGGCCCGGCUCUUAACACUCAACCUGUUCUCUCGACGCCGUCGGGGCGAUACGUGGCUUGCAUGCUGGAGGCUGGAAGGAGACUGCCGCCAAGACACACCGCACCUUUACCUGAAGUCAGGCCCAGGAGUGCGGACGAUGCGCCUUUUGCCGCUUCACCUGAGCACACUUUGGCGAUACCUUUCCAACUGCGUAGCGUUACCAGAGAUUCCACCUUGAAACUGGACUUUCAGAGACGGGACUUAUACUGGGAUUUAGAGUUUAUGGAUGACGCGUACCUGUGUGCAAAUAAUAGAUGAUUUCAUCUCGGAACAGAUCGGCAUGUUCCAGCAGCGCUUUCCAGGCCACUGGUGCGUAGAUCAAAUCAAAUAGCAGCCCCUUUCUCUUCAGCAUGCACCAGACUGCCUUUAAGUGAGGGUGCGGAACGGCAAACUUGUACCUUUGACUAGUCGAUAUGAUUUGUGGAAAAGGGCCGGUGCUGUCCAGAAGUCGCAUUUGUUCUAGCAAAAACUUUUCGUUUCUGACAACGGGCACGCACACGAUUUUUAACUUAGUGUCAUUGGAAAGCCAGUUGAAAUGUUUUUGAAGGAAAAAAGCGGUUGUCCCUGUGCCAGCUGGAACGACGACGAUCCCAGACAAACCGACAUGUCGACAGCUGUGGAAGCGCCAAAUUUUCAAGGCCAACUGUUUUAGUCCAUAUUCUGCCAUAGGACAAGCGCCGCCUCUUGGAAUAACCAAGUUUUCUUCACAACCAAGUUCGUGCUUUAUUUCUGGAACGUUUUCCCUUUUAAUGGGUUUUCGUCAGCGAAGAGUUUUUGAGAGCGAAGGUAAAAAGAAAUGCGUACCAUCGACUCUCGUAUUGGUUCGAAUCGCCGUCUGGUACUUCGACAAUUUGGGCGCCCAAUGCCAGUGCUUCACUUAUGUUUCCCUUUCUUUCUUUGAUGUUUUUCCUCGCCAUCUGACUGAGAGCCCUUGUAUAGUAUUUGAAUUUCAAGUUGAAUUCAGACGCAAGAUGUGCCGACGCCAACAUGGCAUUGCUUUGGUUUCCCCCGAAGGCUACGACUUGCUUGUAGCGCCGAGCCGAGCGUUGGUCUUCAGCCAACAGCUGACGGAAGUAAUGAAAUUUCCAGAAUUUGUUGCCGGGAUAUGCCGUGCUGUUGAGGUCGUCUCUGAUGACGAACACAUCCAAUUUUCCAAUGUUCAAGCGGCUAACAAAUUUAUCGCAGUUACUAGAAGAACAGCAAAGAAAAGGGCGAAGACGCUCCGUCAACGCGGAAUCAAUUAGCCUCUGCAUGGUGUUGUCGCCGAAAGUUAUUUCUUAGAUCCUGGCAGCAUAAGCGCAUUCUGGGAAAGGGUGCGCUUUUGUGGGAGAGCGAAGAAUUUUUUUCGCAGAUUAAUUGUCGAGCUCAGUUCUCGAGGGGUUCCGCGAUUUAUUUUGGCUUGGCUGCGUAUUUUGAGAGAGCAAGAAAAGAAUACGUCUGGGAAAUGCGCAGAAAAGAUAGCAUGUGCAACGAUGCCCGCGACAGAGAGUUGUAUUUUUUUGAUUUCUAAUUUCGUAGUAACCGAUACAAUUUUUUUUCUCUUUAGGUUCUAUUUGACAAGUCUAAUUUAUUCUCUCGUACUUUGGCGCAGUUUCGAGCCUAUAGCCGAGACGCAUUUACUCGUCAUCGCCGGUCAUUUUCGGAGUCCAGUUGCAUGCGUGUGCUGCGCCCUUCACGCUGAGUCUGAGUAGACGCAAUGGCUAUAAGAGGUAUGUGUAGAGGCGGCCAGGUACAUAGAUUUUUGUAUGUGUGCAGUAUGUGUGCAGUAUUUGAGCUUGACCAGGAUAAGUUCAGACGCCUUUCGCAGCUCUCGAUUUAUGGUACUUUUGUUAGCCAUGUAAAUUUUGGUCGUGCUAUUUGAUUCGUUGCACUUAUACACCGUUAGGCGUUUGCAGUUUGCGGCGGCUGAAAAGCGCGGCUGCAAUUUUGAAGCGGCUACUGACGUAAUUUGUCCAGACUAUUCGUCUUUUACAGAGGACGAACAAGAAGAGGACGAUUCGCUAGAUUCAGAUGGCGAGGACGCUAAAUCCAGUAGGAUUUUGAUUCGCAUUCGAACGAUUCGACAGUUGGUUGAUACGACGAGAUAUGUUGGAUACGAGAAGAGUAUGCGUUCGAUAGUUCCGCUACUGGGGAUGUUGAAGAACGACGAGGAGUUCGUUGUGAGGGAGAUGUUGACGCGGGAGAUCGUCAAGUUGGCAGAGUAUUUAUGUUCUAUUGAGGAGAAGGAGCAGGGGUAUUUUUGCCUCCUUCACGAGCUGUUGCCGAUUGUGAUUGAGUAUGCGACGGAUUUGAAUUCGCACGUGAGGACCACGGCAACAGACUCAUUGGUUAAGUUGUCGUCGCUGUUGGUAAGUUCCGAUGUUGAAAUGUAUAUAUUGCCCAUUGUGCAGAGUUUGAUUAGAGAUAUGACAACGGAUGCGUAUCGGAUACAAGGGGCUCAGUUCCUCGGUGGGUUGUCGACGGUCAUACAAGGUGAUUUGUUGAGAGACUUUAUAUUUUCGCACUUUGUCUUGUUGGCAAACGACCCGGUGACGCUCGUGCGAAAGUCCGUGUCUCUUUAUAUUGGAGAUAUGUGCAGGAUUGCGAACACAGACGCGCUAAGAGAGAAGGUGUUUUCGAUAUUUCUCAAGUUUACAAAGGACAAGUUUUGGACCAUUCGGAGGGAGGCGGUCAAGUCACUGCCAGCUGUGUCAAAGUGUGUGAGCCAUCAGAGGCGUGCCGAGGUACUGGUGCCCGUAUUUUGCGAGUUGUCGAGAGAUCAGAGUUACUGGGUGUGUUCUGCUGCGUAUGAGGUGUUAGGUCCGUUUGUGGCUACGUUUGGCGUUGAAACGGUGCCUACUGUGAUUUUGGAUAUUUUUCGAAGUUUUUAUAUGCGUUCUUCUGCUGACGUCAACGUGGCUCAGUAUUGUGCGUUCAAUUUUCCGGCUGUGCUUCUUGCAGUAGGUCCGGAUAGGUGGAACGAGGUGGACCAGUUAUAUGCGUCGCUCGUCUCAAGUCGCCAGCAGGUAGUGAGGAGGUCUUUGGCCAGUUCGCUGCACGAGAUUGCGCGGAUUUUGGGGACGAAGGUGGCGGAGGAGCACUUACUGAGGGUUUUUGAGGAAUUUUUAAAGGACAACGAAAUUUGUAGCGUUCUUUUGGCGAAUAUCAGCAAGUUUUUCGCGGUGUUGACAGAGGAGAAGAGGCUCCAUUAUUUGGAUAUGUUAGAAGGGUAUUUCAAGAGUGCGGAUUGGAGAGUGAGGAGGGUUAUGGCGGAGCAAUUUGGCGCGCUUGCGUCGCAGUAUGCGCUGCACGUGAUCGAGAAAAGGUUUGUGCCUCUUUUUUUCGUUUGCGUAAACGACCCGGUGAAUGCGGUUCGUUUGACGAUUAUUGGGUCUUUUUGCGCGGUUUUUCGUCUGUUGACAGAGUCGUCCAUGGUUUUGCAUGGUUUUAUGUCUCAGAUUUGUGAGUUGAGCGUCAGCAGACACUUUUAUAUUCGCCAGCUGUUUUCGUCGAUUUGCGGGAUUGCUAUCGAGGAAGUCGACGCAGAGACAUAUCGGAGCGAAUUAUUGCCACGGUUGUUGGCUCUCGCGACGGACAGGGUGCCGAAUGUCAGGUUGACGGUGGCGCAGUCUGUCAACAAGGUUUUAGAGCACUUCGAGGUGGAUUCUAGCAUUCUCGAGGUGCAUUCGCAGUUGGCAUCUGACUGCGAUCCCGACGUGGCAUUUUACGCCACUGGAAUGUUGCCUAGGCGGGUUCUGACGCGUUUGAACUGUCAGGAGGAGCUGGAGCUCUCAAGUUCUCUGUCAGUAGAGUCAGAUGUGGAAUCGUUUUCGCUGAAAGAGUGAAAGCGUUGAUGGUAUUUCGUGUAAGAUUGGGUAUUUUCAUUUUUUAUUUA